AUUGAACGCUGGCGGCAGGCCUAACACAUGCAAGUCGAGCGAGCGGCGGACGGGUGAGUAAUGUCUGGGAAACUGCCUGAUGGAGGGGGAUAACUACUGGAAACGGUAGCUAAUACCGCAUACCAUCAGAUGUGCCCAGAUGGGAUGAGCUAGUAGGUGGGGUAACGGCUUACCAAGGCAACGAUGCCUAGCCGACCUGAGAGGGUGAUCGGCCACACUGGAACUGAGACACGGUCCAGACUCCUACGGGAGGCAGCAGUGGGGAAUCUUCCGCAAUGGGCGAAAGCCUGAUGGAGCAAUGCCGCGUGAGUGAAGAAGGUCUUCGGAUUGUAAAGCACUUUAAGUUGGGAGGCGUUACCAACAGAAUAAGCACCGGCUAACUCCGUGCCAGCCGCCGCGGUAAUUC
rnacentral:rRNA from 1 species